GAGAAAGUGAUGAUUAUAAAAAUAAUUCAUCAUUUUGACUUGCUUAAUUUGGACAUGACAAAUCUCUUAUUACACCUAUAGAAUCUGAGCUACUC
rnacentral:snoRNA from 1 species